GGGUGAAGAAUUAUGCAUAUAUAUCUCUGUCUCACCUUUUGUAGUUAGAUCGAUUCUUAUCCGGGAAGAAAAAAAAUUUAGAGACCUAUCUACUACACCAGCAAACUGUUACGAGAUAUAGAGACCUGAUAUAAAAAGAUUGAAAAAAUAAUAUAUGCUUUGAUCAUGGCAGUCGGAAGACUCAAACCUUAUUUUCAAGUUCAUACUAUGACCGUAUU
rnacentral:lncRNA from 1 species